UACGUAGGUGGCGAGCGUUAUCCGGAAUUAUUGGGCGUAAAGCGAGCGCAGGCGGUUCCUUAAGUCUGAUGUGAAAGCCCACGGCUCAACCGUGGAAGGUCAUUGGAAACUGGGGAACUUGAGUGCAGAAGAGGAGAGUGGAAUUCCAUGUGUAGCGGUGAAAUGCGUAGAGAUUAGGAAGAACACCAGUGGCGAAGGCGAUUCUCUGGACUGUAACUGACGCUGAGGCUCGAAAGCGUGGGGAGCAAACGGGAUUAGAUACCCGGGUA
rnacentral:rRNA from 1 species